UCCCUCAGUUUUCCAGCUUUGCCUUUGUUUCCUUAUUUGUUUCAGUUGUUCUUCGUGUUGCAGGAGGGCAUCCUCCACGGCCAACACUGACAAAUGGCAGCAGCUCUGUACACGCCUGGUCCACAGAAAACUAAGAAAAGAGACAAAGGAGUCAGCCUUACCAGCAGAUCUCUCUCUGCCUCUUCCUGCAGAAGUUUG
rnacentral:lncRNA from 12 species